rnacentral:rRNA from 1 species
AGCGAACGCUGGCGGCAGGCCUAACACAUGCAAGUCGAACGAGAAAGCCCAGCUUGCUGGGCAAGUAAAGUGGCGCACGGGUGAGUAACGCGUGGGUAAUCUACCUUUGUCUGGGGGAUAACCUACCGAAAGGUGGGCUAAUACCGCAUAAUGUGAUCGAGUUAUGAUUUGAUCACCAAAGAUGGCCUCUCCAUGGAAGCUAUCAGGUAAAGAUGAGCCCGCGUCCCAUUAGCUAGUUGGUAGGGUAAAGGCCUACCAAGGCUACGAUGGAUAGCUGGUCUGAGAGGAUGGCCAGCCACACUGGAACUGGAACACGGUCCAGACUCCUACGGGAGGCAGCAGUGAGGAAUCUUGCGCAAUGGGGGCAACCCUGACGCAGCAACGCCGCGUGAGUGAAGAAGGCCUUCGGGUCGUAAAGCUCUGUCAAGUGGGAAGAAUAGCCUGAAGACGAAUAAUCUUGAGGUAUGACGGUACCACUGGAGGAAGCACCGGCUAACUCCGUGCCAGCAGCCGCGGUAAGAC